rnacentral:rRNA from 1 species
UGGGGAAUAUUGGACAAUGGGCGCAAGCCUGAUCCAGCCAUGCCGCGUGAGUGAUGAAGGCCCUAGGGUUGUAAAGCUCUUUCACCGGUGAAGAUAAUGACGGUAACCGGAGAAGAAGCCCCGGCUAACUUCGUGCCAGCAGCCGCGGUAAUACGAAGGGGGCUAGCGUUGUUCGGAUUUACUGGCGUAAAGCGCACGUAGGCGGACUAUUAAGUCAGGGGUGAAAUCCCGGGGCUCAACCCCGGAACUGCCUUUGAUACUGGUAGUCUUGAGUUCGAGAGAGGUGAGUGGAAUUCCGAGUGUAGAGGUGAAAUUCGUAGAUAUUCGGAGGAACACCAGUGGCGAAGGCGGCUCACUGGCUCGAUACUGACGCUGAGGUGCGAAAGCGUGGGGAGCAAACAGG